GCCUAGUUAGAUUGGAGGGUGGCACAUCUGGGUACCUUGAAAGUAUCAGGUUACAGGUUCAAUUCCUGUCCAAGGUG
rnacentral:tRNA from 1 species